CCGUAAUAAAAAAUACAGCUGACGCUCGAAAAAGCCCAGGUUUGAAUGGUGUGGACCUACUAAGUGUGGACAGAGGUAGUAGUUAUUGGAGAUUUUCAUCAACUUGAAAACAUUAAGAAAAAAAAAAAAGAUACGCUAUAGAUACAUAAAAUAUUUGCAGUCGAUGUGAUGCUUUAUUAUUUACUACCGUAAAAUAUAUGUAGAGACUAUAAUAAGCUGCAGUUGAUCAAAAUGGACUCUUGCAGAUGCUAUGCGUGACUGCACACUGCCAUUUGCAACCUAGAGAAAUGCAAACAAAUGUACAGAUGCAGCAUUAAAUCAUAAUUGCAUAAAUUAACUGUAGUACAUAGUACAUGCUGUGCUGCGUUAAUAAUGCCCUAGCCUGUUGCUGUGGGGGAAUGACAUGCAAAUUUUUUUACUGCACGGGGGUGGGGGUGGGGCUGGUGCCUAGAACCCCCAGGUAAUCCCUUAGCUAAGAAUAGUGCUGUUGAUGUUUCUUUAUCCAUAAAACUGGCUUUACUGUCAUUGUUGUUGAGAUGGAGUCUCAGGAGCCCAGGCUGGCUUUGAACUCUCUGUCUAGCUGUGGAUGACCUUAAACUUCCAAUCCUCCUGUCUCAGUCUGCCCAGCACUUUGAUUCCACGCGAGCUUUAUGUUGUGCUAGGCAUCGAACUGGGGUUUCAUGGGUUCUAGGUAAGCACUCUACCAAUUAAUCUGCAUCUCCAGCCCCCAAAGUGUGGUCUUGGAGGAGGGGUCCCAGUUCAUCAUCAGGGGACACCAAGGCAAGAACUCACGGCAGGAACCUGGAGGCAGAGACUGAAGUAGA
rnacentral:lncRNA from 1 species